GUGUUCACAUCGGCAACACACAUACCAAAACUGGAACAAUGGACAGGAGAUUAACAAAGCCCUUCCAUAAGGAUGGCAUGCAAAUUGGUGAAUGGUUCAAAGAUUGU